rnacentral:rRNA from 1 species
GAUAAACGCUGGCGGCGUGCUUCAGGCAUGCAAGUCGAACGAGUGUCCACCUUCGGGUGGUCUACUAGUGGCGGACGGGUGAGUAACGCGUUAGCAACCUGCCCAAAAGUGGGGAAUAAC